CAGGGUGAGGCAUGCCAGGGCAAAGGAGGAUGCACUGGGCAGGGGGAUGAACGUCCCAGUGGAGGAGGCGGUGGUGGCUGUUCUGAGGAGAAAGGCAUGCAGAGAGCCAGGCACCCUAAGGAGGAUGUUCUCGAGUCGAGGAACCUAAUCUUUCCCAGCAGGGAUCGAAGCAGCUCUGGGCAUUGACAGUCACUCACCAGGCAAUGACUGUCACGUCGGCGCAAAGAGCCAGCCGUCGACAGGGGCCGACCACAUCAAACGAGGCUGUCAGGGGGCCCUGCUUGUGAACUGUGGCAACAAACACCUCCUGAUCCUCACCUACAGCUCAAGAACAGACACCCGCUGCUGUGCUUCCAGCCACUGCCUCCGCUGAGAAAAGAUGUUCUGUCCGGACCUCAUUUCCUCCUCCGCUGCACCCCUCCCAGCGACCACCACCUUCCCUUGUCUCUCCCCCUCUCUGUCAAGUAGUGCUUGUGCUAACCUCCCGUCUGCUGACACACAAAGGCUCACUAAAGUGGGUUUGAUGAGUGCACGUGAAGGGAAGGCCGGUGCUGCUGGAGGUCAGAAAGUGUACAGGAUGUGAAGAACAUAGUACAGUUUUACUGUCAAUUUGAAUUAGAGUCACAUUUGAUUUUUAACUUUUUUGGGUUGCGACUUUAAAAGUCACAGGGUGAAAGGAGGGGAUGUAUUUCAACAGGUUGCGACAAGUACUCUUUUCUGGAUUAUCUACAACUUUUUUUUUUUUUUUUAGCUUUGUAGUGAUGGUUCACACUUAAAGUCAGUUCUUUAACUGGGUUAAAAAGAUGUUUCUGUCUUCAGAAAAAUAUAUCAGGCAUUGUAAGAUUCCUCUAUUAACAAUAAUAAAACAUUUUACAAAAUGAAUUGAAAUUAAAAUUAAUCAAAAUUAAAAUUGUGGCAACUACUGUAUUACCCUCCAAUCAAAGCAUAGUCAUUGCUAUUAUAUACAUAUAAAAAAAAAAAAAAUAAAAAAAAAUGUUUUCAUGGCAUCUUUUUGGCCAAUCAAUAAAGAAUAGGGUCUUGAUGUCUUCUUCAGAUUACAUACUUUAAAAGCAUAUUUGUGCUGUGAUUAUAAUGACAGAUAAAAUAUAGUCCCUAAAAAAAGACCAAAUUAAACCACCACUGUCAUUGAUUUUUCCAGGAAAUGUUUGUAAAGCCUAACCCAGAACUCAGGCAAACUAUUCCUUUAAUCAAACAAAUGAAUAUGUUUGAAGUGUACAUCAUAGCACUCUGUGUAUAUUUCUAUGCAUGUCUUAG